GUGGGGAAUAUUGGACAAUGGGGGGAACCCUGAUCCAGCCAUGCCGCGUGUGUGAAGAAGGCCUUUUGGUUGUAAAGCACUUUAAGCGAGGAGGAGGCUACCGAGAUUAAUACUCUUGGAUAGUGGACGUUACUCGCAGAAUAAGCACCGGCUAACUCUGUGCCAGCAGCCGCGGUAAUACAGAGGGUGCAAGCGUUAAUCGGAUUUACUGGGCGUAAAGCGCGCGUAGGUGGCCAAUUAAGUCAAAUGUGAAAUCCCCGAGCUUAACUUGGGAAUUGCAUUCGAUACUGGUUGGCUAGAGUAUGGGAGAGGAUGGUAGAAUUCCAGGUGUAGCGGUGAAAUGCGUAGAGAUCUGGAGGAAUACCAAUGGCGAAGGCAGCCAUCUGGCCUAAUACUGACACUGAGGUGCGAAAGCAUGGGGAGCAAACAGGAUUAGAAACCCGAGUAGUCC
rnacentral:rRNA from 1 species